CCUACGGGAGGCAGCAGUGAGGAAUAUUGGUCAAUGGACGAGAGUCUGAACCAGCCAAGUAGCGUGAAGGACGACUGCCCUAUGGGUUGUAAACUUCUUUUAUAUGGGAAUAAAAUGUUCCACGUGUGUGAUUUUGUAUGUACCAUAUGAAUAAGGAUCGGCUAACUCCGUGCCAGCAGCCGCGGUAAUACGGAGGAUCCGAGCGUUAUCCGGAUUUAUUGGGUUUAAAGGGAGCGUAGGUGGAUUGUUAAGUCAGUGGUGAAAGUUUGCGGCUCAACCGUAAAAUUGCAGUUGAAACUGGCAGUCUUGAGUACAGAAGAGGUGGGCGGAAUUCGUGGUGUAGCGGUGAAAUGCUUAGAUAUCACGAAGAACUCCGAUUGCGAAGGCAGUUCACUGGACUGCAACUGACACUGAGGCUCGAAAGUGUGGGUAUCAAACAGGAUUAGAUACCCGGGUAGUC
rnacentral:rRNA from 1 species